GAGGGAUAAAAAAAAAAAAAAUACAAUGAAAGAAACUACAAAGUGACUCCACAAGGGAGAAGCUACGGUGCAAGCGCACACACACACACACACACACACACACACACACACACACUCAGGUUUUAAGGGCAUUCCCUCGUCGCCUACUUUUAUGCUCCCAUUGUUCAGUUUUUCCCUCUUCUUUUCUUUUCCUGCACACGAGAUACUUCGUUCCCCAGCAAGGCUCCGUCUGAAGAAGUUUACUUGAAGCGACCUCCUCCACCCAGACUGGAGCACUUUGUUUUAAAAGUCACGAGAGCUCAGCGGAGGUGUGACUGCACAGACCCCCCCGGUUAGGAAACCCUCCACUGAAUCAUCAGGAGACCCGUCAGACUGAAAUCCGGCCCAAGACGCAGGACGAUGCGGUCCAGAAAUCAAGGACGUUUGCUCAGAACCCUUCUUCAGGCGUUUGUGUGAAGAGCCGAAGUCGAAUCAAAUCAACACGGAAACACGAGACUCUUCAAACCAGGCUCAGCGUCAAGCUUUCAUCACUGCUCUCCAGUGUGCGCGCUCAGAUGAUCAAUAGACGUGAUUAGGAGUCUGAUUAGCGUUUGUCCUACACGAUCAAGGCUUCAGCCUCAUCUGGUUUUGGACUGCACGCAACACAAAAACGACUUUUUUUCGGUCUCUGCUGAGAGAAGGCUGUACUACACGAGUGAUGGACACCUUUAAUAAACAGCAGCGGUAAAUGUCGGUUGCCUUGGUAACCGAUACAACUGAUGAGGACUGUUGGAAGAGGGACGACCCGUCGUCGAGACCAACCGAGAGAUUAAUUACGGUUUUGUAACAGUUAAUUGACUGUAUGCUGCUGAUUGCGAGACCGGUUUUAAUCUGUAUUUCGAAGGGUUUCAGUUCUAAUACAAGCUUGUUCUCAUUAGUGGUCCGAGAAUUUGUCCUAAAAUCCAGA
ensembl:lncRNA